rnacentral:rRNA from 1 species
AGUGAACGCUGGCGGUAGGCCUAACACAUGCAAGUCGAACGGCAGCACAGAGGAGCUUGCUCCUUGGGUGGCGAGUGGCGGACGGGUGAGGAAUACAUCGGAAUCUACUCUGUCGUGGGGGAUAACGUAGGGAAACUUACGCUAAUACCGCAUACGACCUACGGGUGAAAGCAGGGGAUCUUCGGACCUUGCGCGAUUGAAUGAGCCGAUGUCGGAUUAGCUAGUUGGCGGGGUAAAGGCCCACCAAGGCGACGAUCCGUAGCUGGUCCGAGAGGAUGAUCAGCCACACUGGAACUGAGACACGGUCCAGACUCCUACGGGAGGCAGCAGUGGGGAAUAUUGGACAAUGGGCGCAAGCCUGAUCCAGCCAUACCGCGUGGGCGAAGAAGGCCUUCGGGUUGUAAAGCCCUUUUGUUGGGAAAGAAAUCCAUCUGGUUAAUACCCGGGUGGGAUGACGGUACCCAAAGAAUAAGCACCGGCUAACUUCGUGCCAGCAGCCGCCGUAA